AGCGAACGUAGCUCAGGGGUAGAGCACAACCUUGCCAUGGUUGGGGUCGCGGGUUCGAAUCCCGUCGUUCGCUU
rnacentral:tRNA from 1 species